CAGCCAAGGAAGACUUGCCC
rnacentral:miRNA from 1 species